rnacentral:rRNA from 1 species
UACAGAGGUCUCAAGCGUUGUUCGGAAUCACUGGGCGUAAAGGGUGUGUAGGCGGCGUGAAAAGUCAGAUGUGAAAUCUGGGGGCUCAACCCCCAAAUAGCAUCCGAUACUGUCAUGCUGGAGGUCUGUAGAGGGAUCUGGAAUUCUCGGUGUAGCAGUGAAAUGCGUAGAUAUCUGGAGGAACACCGGUGGCGAAGGCGGCAUCCUGGACCGAUACUGACGCUGAGGAGCGAAAGCCAGGGGAAGCAAAGCGGG